UGGGAAAAAAGGAAAAGCUAAGAUGGCGUCGCACUUGCAGCAAACUUUUACUGACUGACAACAAACUGAUCAUCAUAUGCACCGUAAACCCAUGGGGAGCAGUGUUCGUAUUUGGAUUCAAGUUGUCUCACACACACUGAAUUCCUCCGAUGUGGUGCUUUUGCGGAACCUCGGAAAUCUAGAGCCCGGAACUCGAGCCCGCGCUAACCAUUUUCCCAGUUCCGGUUUCGAGUGGAAUGUUCCAUAGACAGCACUAGUAAACAGACACUGUCAGCUUUUCCGGGCCGGGGUAGUACGCUGAGUGGUCAAAUAUUUAGUGUAUGUUGUCUUA